AAUAUGAAGCAGAUACUAACUACAACAGAAACUCAGCAGAUCUGGAAGCGUCCAUGGCAAGAGAACACAGUUGAUGCUUCCUGUCUGGACUGCUGACCCCUCAACACUGAACCUCUCAGCCUAGCGUUUGUCACCUCCAGACUCAACUUUUCAAAUUACUAGUGGUCGACUAUCCUUCAAAACCUAAAGCAUUGCCAUCCUAGAAGACAAGAAUUUAUACAAGGUUCUUCAUGUUUCACAAAAAUACAAGCGUUUGGAAGCUACCGUCAAUGUGCUAUAAGGAGGAGGAUGCAAGCUUGGAUUUAUUCUAUGAAUAUCACGUUCAACCACUU